GUUAAAUCAGCAGUGUUAAAGUGUAUUUACUCUAAUAGAGUCAUUAUAACGACAGCUGGAGCAAAACGCCUCCCAGUGUGGGUGAUAAUUCGCGGAGUUAAAAGACGCAGUGUCAAUGUUACACUAGAAAGCUCCUCCCACCACAGACUCCUUUUCAAACUGAGAGGAUUUUUCACGGCGCCAUUUUCUUCACAUCAGUUACACGUAGUUCGAUGAAGAGCACUGACUAUAAGAAAUUACUGUCUACAGGAAGCAUGCCAGAGGAAUUGUAACCUUUUUCCCUUACCUCAGUGGCCCGUACUCCAAAAAUGGCUAUUGUCUGUACAUGUCACUCUCCAAGGAACAUUAUUAUGAUGGCGAGAGUGGCACUGGGUACUUGGCCUGGAGGAUUAAAACCAUACAGAGAUGCACCGCUAAAGGGAGGCGAUUAUCAUCUGGAGCACCAGGAGAUGGAUCAUCG